AACGAACGAGACUCUGGCCUGCUAAAUAGUACAUCUGUAAUUCGUGUCUGCUUAAAGUCUCUUGUCUGCAGAUGCCUUUAACGAGGUGUUUGUAUGGCAGGUUUCUUUGGUGGUCGCUGUGCAGAUGAAACUUCUUAGAGGGACAAGCUUCCUAAAUAGCACGAAAUUAAGCAAUAACAGGUCUGUAAUNCCCUUAGAUGUCCGGGGCCGCACNNNNNCUACAAUGACAGUACCAGUGUGUAUGAAGACCUUGCCUGAGAAGCUUUGGCAAACCGGUCCAUUACUGUCGUGACAGGGAUCGGGGUUUGUAAUUAUCCCCCGUGAACGAGGAAUUCCCAGUAAGUGCAAGUCAUAAGCUUGUGCUGAUUACGUCCCUGCCCUUUGUACACACCGCCCGUCGCUACUACCGAUUGAAUGGUUUGGCAAGGCUUCGGAUUGGCACCAGUGUUUUGGAUUUGUCAGUGUAAACUGGCAAGUCUAUUCAACGGGAGCUGAGAAGAGGACCAAACUUGAUCAUUUAGAGGAAGUAAAA
rnacentral:rRNA from 1 species